rnacentral:rRNA from 1 species
UACGUAGGGGCCAAGCGUUGUCCGGAUUUAUUGGGCGUAAAGAGCUCGUAGGCGGAUUGGUAAGUCAGCUGUGAAAUCUCCACGCUUAACGUGGAGGGGUCAGUUGAUACUGCCUCUCUAGAGUCCGGUAGGGGAGUGUGGAAUUCCCGGUGUAGCGGUGAAAUGCGCAGAUAUCGGGAGGAACACCAGUAGCGAAGGCGGCACUCUGGGCCGGUACUGACGCUGAGGAGCGAAAGCGUGGGGAGCAAACAGGAUUAGAUACCCUGGUAGUCCACGCCGUAAACGUUGGGCACUAGGUGUGGGACCCUAUCGACGGGUUCCGUGCCGUAGCUAACGCAUUAAGUGCCCCGCCUGGGGAGUACGGCCGCAAGGCUAAA